rnacentral:tRNA from 1 species
CGGAAUGUACAGAAACUGAGAACAUGGUUAUAAUAAACGCAUUAACCAUGUUCGUUUUCGGCUCGAAUCGUGAACACACGGUUCGGGUCCGUGAGGUCGGAGGUUCAAAUCCUCUCACCCCGA